UACGAAACUACCAAUGUUAUGUUGGAGCCCUUGAGCGACCAAUUGAAAUUCAUGAAAAGCAAUGACGAAUAGGGAUACUUUGGACGAUGAGCAAAGAAGCAAUAUCAGAAUUCAGAAGAGGAUCGAAACACAGGAAGAAGAUCAGCGAUGGGAUCGGAUCGGAGGUGCUCGCAGCGUGCGAGUUCGAAAAUGUUCCAGCUUCAAGAGAAAUUGCUCCACCUUUAUAAGAAAAAGAAGCACGAUGCGCAUAGCCAAGUUCAUUGUGACGUAUAGUUUUGGUCUCAGCAUCAAUCGGUGAGCUAUCACAAAACAACCUAGCCCAAAGCAUUUUGCCUCCACACUCUAUUCCCCUACCACACCACCUCUUUCCAUUCAUCUUGUUCUCUCCAUCCAUUGUCGCCUCUCACAUUAGAGAUCAAUUUCACCAUGCCCUUAAAACAGGUACUUGUGGUCUCACUGGUCUGCAGCGGCAAUGGUGGUCUGCUUUUCAAUUAUGUUUCAUGUCCUACUCCUUCACCUCCAUAUUCCUAAACAAAAU
rnacentral:lncRNA from 1 species